GACGAACGCUGGCGGCGUGCUUAACACGUGCAAUUCGAACGAUGAAGCCGGAGCUUGCUCCGGUGGAUUAGUGGCAAACGGGUGAGUAACACGUGAGCAAUCUGCCCUUGACUCUGGGAUAACUGCGGGAAACUGUAGCUAAUACCGGAUACGACACCUUGGAGCAUCCCAGGGUGUGGACAGAAUUUCGGCAAAGGAUGAACUCGAGGCCUAUCAGCUAGUUGGUGAGGUAAUGGCUCACCAAGGAUACGACGGGUAGCCGGCCUGAGAGGGUGACCGGCCACACUGGAACUGAAACACGGUCCAGACUCCUACGGGAGGCAGCAGUGGGGAAUAUUGCACAAUGGGCGAAAGCCUGAUGCAGCAACGCCGCGUGAGGGAUGAAGGCCUCCGGGUUGUAAACCUCUUUUAGCAGGGAAGAAGCGAAAGUGACGGUACCUGCAGAAAAAGCACCGGCUAACUACGUGCCAGCAGCCGCCGUAA
rnacentral:rRNA from 1 species